GGAGGAUGACUCGGCUGCUAGAAAAACAUGAAGACCGAGCCGAGUUGGAAGGCUGUGGAAUUAACGUGAGGGAAUUUCAGAGAGAAACACUGAUCUGAGCUCAGAACCGGAGCUGGAAACAGAGGUGAUGCAGAGCAGAGUUCUCUUCACAGAGACUCUGAAUGAAAAGCAGCAGCUCACCAGUCCUGUGGAGCCAGUUUCAGCGGCUGGUCGAUGACGCGGUAAGGAACGGUGACGCUGAGCGUGGCGCCGCCUGGCUGGAUCUGGUCUUUGCGCCUCUGGAGCAGAACCUCGUUGUCCCGCUG